rnacentral:rRNA from 1 species
GAUGAACGCUGGCGGCGUGCCUAACACAUGCAAGUCGAACGGAGAUUACGGACGGAAGUUUUCGGAUGGAAGCCUGUAAUUCUUAGUGGCGGACGGGUGAGUAACGCGUGGGCAACCUGCCCUAUACAGGGGGAUAGCAGCUGGAAACGGCUGGUAAGACCGCAUAAGUCGGUUAAAUCGCAUGAUUUGAUCGGGAAAUGAGCAAUCAGGUAUAGGAUGGGCCCGCGUCCGAUUAGCCAGUUGGCAGGGAAAAAGCCUACAAAAGCGACGACGGGUAGCCGAAAGGAGAGGGGGGAGGCCAAAAUGGGGACUGAGAAACGGCCAAAACCCCAAGGGGGGGAAGGAGGGGGGGAUAUUGAAAAAGGGAGGAAACUGUGAGGGAGGAGCGCCGGGGGAGGGAAAAAGUAUUGGGGUAUGAAAAGCUCUAUAAGCAGGGAAGAGAAGGACGGUACCUGAAAAAAAAGCCCGGGCUAAAUA